rnacentral:rRNA from 1 species
AUUGAACGCUGGCGGAAUGCUUUACACAUGCAAGUCGAACGGCAGCACGGGGGCAACCCUGGUGGCGAGUGGCGAACGGGUGAGUAAUACAUCGGAACGUGCCCAGUCGUGGGGGAUAACGUAGCGAAAGCUACGCUAAUGCCGCAUACGAUCCAUGGAUGAAUGCGGGGGACCGUAAGGCCUCGCGCGAUUGGAGCGGCCGAUGGCAGAUUAGGUAGUUGGUGGGGUAAAGGCUCACCAAGCCUGCGAUCUGUAGCUGGUCUGAGAGGACGACCAGCCACACUGGGACUGAGACACGGCCCAGACUCCUACGGGAGGCAGCAGUGGGGAAUUUUGGACAAUAGGCGCAAGCCUGAUCCAGCCAUUCCGCGUGCAGGAUGAAGGCCUUCGGGUUGUAAACUGCUUUUGUACGGAACGAAAAGGCUCUUUCUAAUACAGAGGGCUCAUGACGGUACCGUAAGAAUAAGCACCGGCUAACUACGUGCCAGCCGCCGCAGUAACAC